rnacentral:piRNA from 1 species
UGUGAUUAAAGGCAUGUGCCACCAAGAUU